rnacentral:rRNA from 1 species
CGUCUAUAUACGUAUAGCAUAUCAAUAAGCGGAGGAAAAGAAACUAACUAGGAUUCCCUCAGUAACGGCGAGUGAAGCGGGAAGAGCUCAAAUUUGAAAUCUUCAAGGUUUUACCUUGACGAAUUGUAGUUUAAAGAAGUGUUUUCUGUUGGAAUUUUGGUAAAAGUUCUUUGGAAAUAGGACAUCAAUAGAGGGUGAGAAUCCCGUAUUUGACCAUUAUUUCCAGCUUUGUGAUACACUUUCAAAGAGUCGGAUUGUUUGGGAAUGCAGUCCAAAAUGGGUGGUAAAUUUCAUCUAAAGCUAAAUACUGGCGAGAGACCGAUAGCGAACAAGUACCGUGAGGGAAAGAUGAAAAGAACUUUGAAAGGAGAGUUAAACAGUACGUGAAAUUGUCAAAAGGGAAGCGUUUGACACCAGUGUUGUUUUCUCGAAAAUCAAUUAAAAGUGUCAGGAUUUUGUAGUCGUAAUUGACUUUAUCAGCUUACUGCUACUCUUUUCUUGUCUUUUUAAUGCACUUUUCGUUUAACAAGUCAACAUCAAUUUCUUUUGUCUGUAAAAGAGUCAUUGGAAGGUGGCUUUCUUUUCGGAGAAAGUGUUUAUAGCCUUUGACUUCUGCAGUCGGAGAGAUUGAGGUCUGCAGCGUAGAUCCUUCGGGGUUAGAUACAUUUGUGCUAAGUUAUAGCCUUUCAUAGACAACUUGUUGACUAUGAUCAGUCAUGUAGCUUACUCGCCUAUGUUAUUUUACCUACGCUUAGGAUGUUGACGAUCAGCUGAGCGCG